UACAGAGGUCUCAAGCGUUGUUCGGAUUCAUUGGGCGUAAAGGGUGCGUAGGCGGCGCGGUAAGUCGGGUGUGAAAUCUCGGAGCUUAACUCCGAAACUGCAUUCGAUACUGCGGUGCUUGAGGACUGGAGAGGAGACUGGAAUUCAUGGUGUAGCAGUGAAAUGCGCAGAUAUCAGGAGGAACACCAAUGGCGAAGGCAGCUCGCUGGAACGGUACUGACGCUGAGGCGCGAAAGCGUGGGGAGCAAACAGG
rnacentral:rRNA from 1 species